UACGUAGGGGGCAAGCGUUAUCCGGAUUUACUGGGUGUAAAGGGAGCGUAGGCGGCGACGCAAGUCAGAAGUGAAAGCCCGGGGCUCAACUCCGGGACUGCUUUUGAAACUGCGUUGCUAGAUUGCGGGAGAGGCAAGUGGAAUUCCUAGUGUAGCGGUGAAAUGCGUAGAUAUUAGGAGGAACACCAGUGGCGAAGGCGGCUUGCUGGACCGUGAAUGACGCUGAGGCUCGAAAGCGUGGGGAGCAAACAGG
rnacentral:rRNA from 1 species